rnacentral:rRNA from 1 species
CAUGUAGGCGGGAAUCUAAGUCUGUUGUGAAAAUGCGGGGCUCAACCCCGUAUUGCGAUGGAAACUGGGUUUCUUGAGUGCAGGAGAGGAAAGGGGAAUUCCCAGUGUAGCGGUGAAAUGCGUAGAUAUUGGGAGGAACACCAGUGGCGAAGGCGCCUUUCUGGACUGUGUCUGACGCUGAGAUGCGAAAGCCAGGGUAGCGAACG